CAGGCGCCCCCAAAAGAUUUUUUUUAAUUUCACUGAAAUAGGUCUUUAGUUUCCAUUUAACAAAUAUACCAGAUAAAACUGAUGGGAGUUUUUAUGUAUAAAUUACCAGUAUAUUUACUUAAAACACUUCAUACUUCUUUUAUACAACUGCACUACACUUAGUGUGCAGCUCUAAUUGAAUCAUCUAGUGUAAAAUUUUUGUAAGGGAUUUAGAUGAGGAAGCACACAGAGACGUCCCUGGCUUACACAUGACAGUAAGUUCCUCUGUUUAUAUUUCAAUGACAUUUGACACUGUUCACCACCACCUUGUUCUUGAAACUCUCAAGACUUCUACCACAGCGCCUUCGCCUAGUUACCCUCCCAUCUCAGUGUCCACUAAUCUCUUACUGUGGUGAAGAUCCUCUUCCUCCUCUGAACUGUAAGCUUCCCCCAGCCCCCGCCACCACCCUGGUCCUCAGCUCUCUGCAUUCUUCUUUCCAUGCUCAUUUCCUUGGUGAGUUCACCUGCAGUCAUGGCAUCAUCACCCGUCACUCAAUGUAGAUAAUUUCAGGUGGAACAUGACCUUGUUCCACUGGGUGUGGGCAUGUGUGCUGUCACUGCUACAUAUAAAAGGUAUUUUGGUAUUGUGCAACAGUAACGAUUAGAAUUUUACAUAACUCACCAAGGAAAAGACUGCUUGGAGGAUCUGAGGAAGAGUUGUCGGCAUAGGUGGCAAUGAAUUCCUUCCCCCUCUUCAUAAAGUAAACCAAAUAAAAAUACAUAAAUAUUAGAAAAGUGAGCAAAGCAUGUCUUUGAAAUUCUCAGGUAAUGGUAUACCUUGUUUGGAGGAAGGAAAAAACUAAGUAAAUGAAUUAAUUGGCCAACAGAAACUUUUUUUUUAAGGCUCUAGACUCUACAUUUAUAAAACUCACUUAAAUGAAGAAAGCACAUUUUUUUUUUAAUCACAUCUUUUAUUAUUUUGCUGGUAGUCAUUCCUAGUCAGCUGAUCACAUUACUCUUGUGGACUCAGCUUCAAGACAAACCUUCUAACUCCCUCCCUCCCCUUCCAAUCAGAUUUCUGCCCUUAAACUUUUCCUAUAUGAAUCUGCAAGCAACAGGGAGCAUGCAAAUUUAUUAUUUAGACCUACAGUAUAUUAAUCAUAGGUCCUGAAAUAAUUUGAGGAAUGCUAUAGGCAUUCCUCAGACCCAAUACACAGAACAAAGAGGUUAUAGACUUUUGGAAUAGGAAGAUAGAACUUUUUAUUAAUUUUUGACUGAUCCCAGCAGGAAAGAAAGCACGUGUUAGCAAGCUCCACAGAAUAUUACUCCAUAGAAAAGGUUUUCAAAACCCUUAUGGCCAUGAGCAAGACUAGGGCCAGAUAGUAGCUUAGAAUAGCAAUAAAAGCCAAGAUUUGUCAAAGGGUAGAAUAAGCCUUUAACAUCUAGCUAAUAAAUAAGCUUCAAUGGGGCGCCUGGGUGGCUCAGUCGUUAAGCGUCUGCCUUCAGCUCAGGUCAUGAUCCCAGGGUCCUGGGAUCAAGCCCCAUGUCGGGCUCCCUGCUUGGUGGGGAGCCUACUUCACCCUCCCCCUGCUUGUGCUUGCUCUCUCUCUCCCUCUUUCUGUCAAUAAAUAAACAAAAAAUCUUAAAAUAAAUAAAUAAAUAAAUAAAUAAAUAAAUAAAUAAAUAAGCAAGCAAGCUUCAGACAAGCAAAACAGGAGAAAAGGAGAUGGUUGAAGAAAACAAAACUUCUACGGGUCAGAGCCACUAACACCUCUAGGUAUCUGUAGUCCUGGGCCAUUCUCUGUGGUGACUGCUUAUUUGGGCAGUAUAUAAAGAGGCAGCAUCUGGGGCUUGCCAGCCAUGCAUAGGGGUUAUUAGAAGUAUGUAUAUAUGGUGGGGCGCCUAUCAGUUAAGCGUCUGCCUUUGGCUCAGGUCAUGAUCCCAGGGUCCUGGGGUCAGACUUCCUGCUCAGUGGGGAGUCUGCUUCUCCCUCUUCCUCUGCUCCUCCCCCUGCUCGUGCUCAUGCUCUCUCUCUCAUAAAUAAAUAAAAUUAUUUUUAAAAAAGAAGUAUGUAUAUAUGGAAGUUACCACUGAGAAAGGGAGAGCUAGCCAAACUAAACCAAAGAUCAAGAACCAAGGGGAACGAAUUAGGCAUCAGAAUCAGAGUGGCAAAGACAGAAAAAAGGGUGAGGAUCAGCUUUGGGGAAAUGGUAAGGUUGUAACAAAAUUUGUGGGAUGGUUCAGGUCCAUAGUCUGGGGUUCCCCUGAAUCCUGCUGAACUUGACCAGGUUAAAGGUGGAGCUCUGAAGGUAAUACAGCUGUGUGGGAGCCUUCUCCUUCCUCUGAGCCCCUGCUACCUCCCGGAGUCCAGGUUUCUUCAGAUUUGACAGGCAGAAGGCUGCCAUGUUAUUAAGGAGACAUUUAAGGUGCCUGGGAACUCUGGGUCUACUCCUCUGAUCCUCUGUAGCCCACCCACCCUAUCAAAUAUUAUAGGUAACUUCAGCAGCGCCAGGAGUCCAGCCAAACACUCCGACAUUUCUCUACAAUAGACUGUAGUGGGACACCUUCUGUGACACCACCAUACCAUAGGUUUCUUCCAACCACCUGGUAGCUCUCUCUCAGUCUCUUACUGGCUUUUCCUCCUCUGCCUGUCCCUUGGGUUCAUUGGUAUUCCUGGAGGCUUUAUUCCUAAUUUUCUUUUUUUUCUCCACUCAACUCUCAAUAAUUCUAUCUACACCCAUGCAUAACUCCAAUAACUAUCUCCAUGUGCCAAGCAUGGAUUCUGUCAGCCCUACAUUAAUAUAUCCAAUUGCCUACUGGAUCUCUUCACUUGAUGGACUUGCAAGCACUUCAAACUCAAUGUCCAAAAUCAGACACAUGAUUUUCCCACCCCAAAGUUCUCUUACUGGGAACUGGCACCAUCAUCCACCUACAUGCUCAUGCCAAAACCUCAAAGCCAUCCUUGAAUUCUCAUCUCCCUCACUGUCCACAUCUAAGUCUUGCUGGAUAGACCUCCAAAAUAUUCCCUCAAAUCCAUCCACUUCUCCACUGCUCUACCCUACACAGGGCAAACCACCAUCAUCUUUCAUCUGAACCAAUGUAACUGCCCUUUAACUUGUCUCCCAGAGCCUAGUGUUGAUCCUCUCCAAUAUGUCUAUAAAACAGCCAAAAUGCAGCACUGGCCAACUCACUCCUCUUCGUAAAACCCUAGACUGGCCUCCCCUUUAUAGGAUGAACUAUAAACACCUUAUCAUGGAUUUCAAGGUGCUCCGUGAUCUGUUCCCUCUGCCUGAAACAUUCUUCUUACCUUCCACAUGAUCACCUCAAAAUCAUUAAGAUCACCAUGUAAACAUAGCUACUUCUUUAAAGAUUUAUUUUAGAGAGAGAGAGCGUGUGUGUGAGUUGGGGGAGGAGAGGGAGAGUCUCAGGCAGACUCCUCUGGCACCUAUCCUAACCUGCCUAGAUGGGCCCAAUCAGCUCUUCCUGGCAACAGGUGCACAGGCCUGCAGCAUUCCACAUUCAGUCCUGCCUUGUCAUCAAAGUUGGGAGAUGAGCUGACUGGUACCCUUUACUCACAUGAAGGUCUCAUACAACUUCACAGUUGCUGAUACCACAUCCUUCAGAAGUUCCCAUCCAGUUUAACAUAGUCAGAUCUGAUCAUUUAAAGUCUUUAAAUGACUUUAAACUCUCUUGAAUAAAAAUUGCUUGAUCUCUUAAGAGAGCCACCUCUCCCCUGCUUUUCUAUCUGAAAUGGAUCUGGAUGUAUGAGGGGAAGGGGGCUUUGUAGUAGAGCAAGAAAAAGUUGGACUCCUUGAGCAAGUGGUCCUCUGACUUCCCAGAUCUCUAGAGCAACGUUCUUUUGCCUUUGCUGCUCACUCCACAAUCGUGGCCCAACUCUGUGGCUGGUAUAAUUCUACGAUCUCUCUCAGCCCAAAAUAGCCUGAGUGGUGCCCCCCUGACAGAAGAAAUUGCACUGUCUUCCCCUGGCACUAUUUUUCUGAGUCUGGUUAUGACGCCUAUCCCAGCCCUCAGAUGCUUGUACAUUCGGUACAGCUGCAGCAGAAACCCUUCACAGAAAAAAAAAAAAAAAGAAAGACAGAAAGAAAAGAAACCCUUCAUAGCCUCUGCACCAAGGGCUUCCCUACUCCCCCCAGGAAAUGCCCCAUAGCUUGACCUCCUACAUCGGACAUUUUCACAAAGUCUCACUGAUGCCUUUCAAAAUCUCUCUCCACUUGAUGCCUACAUUUCUUUCCCUAUUAUCUAGUUCCAGUCUUACCAGCAAGAAUGAGUACCAUGAUGCAUUAAUGAUGUCUACUACAGAUAGAUAGGGGAAUCACACCAUGAAUGCUAUAUGUACCGAUCCUUAAUCUCUUCUUCCUCACAUCUGUUAAUCCAAAUUAAUCUGCCCUCUUUGCAUCCAUCAAAAUCUUACUUAUCUUUCGGAACUAGUUCAAUCUUUAUUUCUCCCACGAAGGUCAACCUCAGUCACAGUCACCUCAUCCUGCUAUAAACUAACACCACUUAUUAUCUGGUUAUUAAUAUUUGUAUUAGUUUAUAAAUGUUAAUAGUAAACACCACUUAUUACUGAUACUUAAGGUGGCUUGAAGAAUGGUGGUAUCAUUAACACAAAGUAUGACUGGCUUUAGGGAAUAUAAUUGGUUAGUUAUAGGAGACACCUGGUUCUCUGGCUAUCAGGAAAGAGAUCUAGGAGUUCUGUAAAGAUGCUAACAGUGAACUCUUUUAGCAAAAAGAUAUUAUCAAAUAUAGGAUUGGAGACAAAAAAAACAAACUGUUGUUUUUUUUGGUUUUUUUUUAAAAACCAAAGUCUGGUCACUGUAUCUCAACAGUAACAGGAGCGUGAGAUCACUUACUAUGGUUUUCUAUCCUGUACAGUUAUACCACUGUAUUGCACAGUAGCUGGCCAAAUGAAGCCGAUUCCCUUUUCUCUAUAGAUCAGUGGCCCUUUGUGGAAAGUGGUUACUGCUCUACCAUACAGUGAGAUUAAAUAGAUUGACAAGGAUUUGAAAUACUCUUUCAAAUGAGGAAUCAGAGAGAAAGGCAGUAACAUUUCCUUGACUUUUCCAUGCAUACAAUGGAUGCUCACUAAAACACCACCUCUCCACUGAAAUGGAAACUCUGUGGCGCAAGGACACUCUCUAGUGUGCUUAUUACUGUAUCCCCAGUGCCUGACAUGCAGCACAUGACUGAUACCUAUUUUACUAAUGAAUAGUUAAUAAAUAUUAGAUGAAGACAACAAUACAGAGAGCAAAAAGCUUAAUAUUUCUAUUCUACAGUAUAUCCUUUUUUAAGAGGAUCACCUUUAUUUCAGAUUCUUUCCUUCUUACUGUGUCUGUCAUACAGUGAGGAAAGGCAAAGGAAAUGAUCAAAAUGGAUAAUAAACGUAAAAAGACCUAACAAAAGGUAAAACUAUAAUAUUUCUAGAUAUAGAAGAAAACACAGGAGAAAAUCUGUGACUCUAGUGUAAGCAAAGAUUUCUUAUGAAGGGCACAAAAAGCAUUAACUGUACAAGAAAAAAAAAAAAGUAAGAAAUUAAACUUCACCAAAAUUUAAAACGUUUGCUUUUCAAAAGACACCAUAAAGAAAAAAAGGCAAGCCACUAACUAGAGGGAAUAUUUUCAAUUCAUACACUCACAUAUACUCACAAUUCAUAGACUCACUUGUAUCCAGAAUAUAUAAAGAACGCUUAUAGCAACAGACCACAUGCCAAUUUUUUAAAUGGGCAAAAAGAUUUAAAUAGACUUCACCAAAUAUGAGAUACUGGUGACAAAUAAGGACAUGAAAAGAUGUUCAGUAUCAUUAAUCGCUGGGGAAAUGCAAAGUGAAGCCACAAUGAGAUAUCACUUCACACCUACUAGAAUGAUUUUAAAAACUGACAAUACCGAGUGCUGAUGGGGAUGAAGAGCGACUGGAACUCUCACAAGAUGCUGGUAAGUGUAAAGUGUACAGGCAUUUUAGAAAACAGUUUGACACUUUUUUCUACAGUAGGUUAAAUAUUCACUUAACACAAAUCCUAAAAUUUCACUCCUAAGUAUCUAUCCAAGAAAAAUGCAAACAUAUGUCUACAAAAAGACUUGCAUAUGAAUGUUCACAGCAGCUUCCAAAAAGUGGAAAACAACCUAAAUGUCCAUCAGCAGAUGAAUGGGUAAACUCAGCAUCAUUAAUCACUGGGGAAGUAAUCGUGGUAUAUCCAACAAUGAAAUACGGCUUAGCAAUAAAAAGGGAUGGAUUACUGAUAUACACAAAAACAUGAAUGGAUAUGAAAAACAUAACGCUGAAUUAAAGAAGCCAAGAACAGGACACACACUGUAUGAUUCCAUUUAUAUGAAGCUCUACGAUAGGCGAAACUAAUCUAUAGUGAUAGAAAUCUGAUCAGUGGAUGUCUGCAGCGGGGUGACGGGAGACUGCAAAGGAUAACAAGGGAAUUCAUGGGGGAGGGUAACAAAUUUCUACAAUCUGGGAAGAUGAUUAUAUAGGUGCCAGUAUCUGUCAAAACUCACUACAUUGUACACUUAAAAAACAUACAUCAUCUUGUUUGUAAAUUAUAUUUCCAUAAGGUUCAAAAAACAAUUAUUUUGCAACAGUUAAGAAGUUAAGUCUUUUUUGUUACCAAUAGUGGCUGGCCAGCAAAUCAUUACAGAGGUUAAUAAGCAGCCCAUGGGUAGUAUAGAAUUAUCCUUGAUCCAUCAGUCUUCUGCAACAUACUAGAGGAAUGGAUUCUCUGUCCAGUGGAAAGGAAUGCCUUAGGGAAUUUGUUUUCCAAUUCAUUAAAGUUAAGAGUGUGAAUUUGCACACCCUCUCGUGAUUAACCCAAUCAAGUCGAUUUUUAAAGGAUUUAUUUAUUUAUUUGAGAGAGAUUGAGAGUGAGCAGGAGGGAGAGAGCAUCUGAAGCAGUCUGUGUUGAAUGCAGAGUCCGACACAGAGCCUGAUCCUACUACCUUGAGAUCAUGACCUGAGCUGAAACCAAGAGUCAGACAUUUAACUAACUGAGCUACCCAGGCGCCCUUUACCCAAGUCAAAUUUUUAAAAAAUCAGGCCUAAACAAUGAUAACAGUUGAAGAAAGCUAUUUUUUAUCAGAAGGUUAAUGCUUCAAAAAUAAGGAAUCCCCACUGUAGGAAAACAAAACACUUUUAAUACAUACUUUGGCGUCUGGACCUUCCAAAGAGGGUGAAGAAUCACCUGGUAUGUGUGUUGGCAGGAACACACACACACACACACACACACACACACAACACACACAGGACCUUCCAAAGAGGGUGAAGAAUCACCUGGUAUGUGUGUUGGCAGGAACACACACACACACACACACACACACACACACAGGAAAUGGGCAGAAAUGCUUCCUUGGCCACACUGUAUAUGGCAUAGUAUGGCACAGGGCUCCACCAUCAGAGAGGCAGGUUGUUAGAACAGCCAGAUGGAAUAGUUUUUAUUUGUAACUUGACUUAUAAGGGUUUAUUAUGAUCAUUUUUUUAAAUGGUCGGGCACUGAAAAAGCUUUUGUGUAAACACAGGAAGGGCAGAAAGCAAAGUAAAACCUGCCACCUGCCCUCUCUACUGCCCUGUCUUGCACUUCUCUCCCUCAUCCCCUUAAAUCACUGCACCUCAAUCUCCAGUAAAUGCUAAAACCACACCAGAGGACUUGGGUUAAGCCAAAAGUAAAGAAAGAUCUAUGAUGAAGGUAAGGGUAAGAAGUGAGGGGAGGGAUAAUGAAUUCAGUGGACGUUUGUCCUUUCUAGUUCCCAGCGUCCAUGCCCCCUUCCUAAGAGUACUCUGAUGUCAUUUCAAGUAAUUAACUCCCCUGUGUACACCUUUGUUGGGAGAGGAAAAUCAAAAGUUUUCCCUCCCUCCACCGAAACCAAGGACUUUCUCUGGGGGUGGGGGGGUGCUCCUUCUCCCAGACCCUUUCUCUCUUUAUCUGAUAGAGCCAUUGGGCCCUUGAUUUAAGCUUAGCCAAUCAAACGAUCUCUUGGCACUUCACUUUUUCAGCAGAGUGAUGCAAGAAGCAAAGAAAUGGUUGGCAGUGAAUCUAGGCAAGACAGUUGAGCAGUUCCUUCUCUGUCAUCUCUAAGCUUGCUUCCUCAGGUUUCCCUUCCACCCUGUGAGGCUCUCCUCAGUGGAGAAAUAAAUAUUUUCAGCUGCCCCCCUUCCUCCACUAUCCCCCACUGUUCUUCAGUCCCCCUCCUUAGAGUUAACGUCUGUUAUCAGUUUGGUAUAUUUUCUUCCAGAAAAGUUCUAUACAUCCCAUUCUUGUUUUUAAACAAAUCCAUGUAUGUGUCAUAAAAAUUGGACAUGAUCCAUAUUGUUGUGCAACUUGCUGUUUAAGAGCUAUAAUCUUCUAUCUCUUUUGUAUCUUCUCAUCAUGCCUGAUUAAAACUGUACACAUAAAAAUUCUGCCAAAAUUGGUGUUUAGUAGAAGUACGGUGGGACUCAGUUAAUCUCACUAUUCUAUAUAGCCCCUUACUUACCCAUAAUAUGAUGGAUUUGGGCAAAAGUUCAGCUAGUUGAACAAUGAGAAUCCUAAAGAAUACUAACAAUGUGUCAAGCUGAAAAGUUCUUCUAGGCAAUAUAGAGAAGGUUCUUUUUUUUUUUUUUAAGACUUUAUUUAUUUGUCAGAGAGAGAGAGAAGAGCACAAGCAGGAGGAAUGGCAGGCAGAGGGAGAAGCAGGCUCCCGAUGCGGAACUCGAUCCCAGGACCCUGGGAUCAUGACCUGAGACGACUGAGCCACCCAGGCAUCCCUAGAGAAGGUUUUUAAGCAGGGAAAUCCCAUGAUAAAGACAAUGUUUCAAGAAGAAUAACAUGGCAACCAUGGAUAUAACAUAGACCAGAAGAAGAGAUUGGAGAGCAGGGAGACUGAUAGUUCAGGGGCUAACCUGGAGGAUAGAUCUGAAGAAAUUAAAAUUCGGAUUACAGUGGGGCCAGAGAAAUGGAGAGAAACUUCUAUACUGAAUUACAAAAAGUUAGACUAGUAGAGUGAAGACUAGGAUUAGAAGGGCUAAAUUUGAAUUCCAACUCUGAAAUUUAUUAGCUGUGUGAAUUCUGGCAAGACACUUCCCUGCUCCAUAUCUCAGUUUCUCUGUCAGUAAAAUGAAGAACUUAGAAUAUCAGGGCUUUUACAGUUUUUUCCCCCCAGUGGAACCCUUUUGUUCUGGGGGAAAAACAAGGCAAGAUUGUUUUGGCUGAAGCAUAGGUAAAGGGCUCAGAGCCUCCGCUAGACUCCAUUUCACUUCUCUCAGCCACCCCUGAGGCAUUCUUGAGGAAUCUCCAGAGGACUAGGGAAAAACAUUUGAGAAAUUUCUAAAGAUUCUACUACCAACUCUAAUAUUCAAUGACUCAAGGGCGUAAACUUGGCAGAUGUGGCUAGGAAAACAGUAAUGACUUUAAGAGUCGCCACAAAAUCAUAUAAUAAAAAGGAUAAACUGACCUUCAAUAAAUUUGCCUGCUUUUCUUUCCAGGCCAAACUCAAUUUAAUGUCCCAUAUCUCAUCCAAACCUUGUGCAAGCAGUAAUCUAAACUCCAUAUAAACAAUACAGUCACAAAUAUUUCACUGCCUAACAAUUCAGUUCAUUCCAAUUUGAGAUCCACCAACUAAUCAAAGAUUCUUUCUUAUUGAACUGAAGUCUGUCCCUCUAUCACUGUCAUCUGAAAUAAAGGUGCUUAUUCUACCUUCUGGACCUAAAGCAAGUAAAUCUAGCCCCUCCUCCAUAGGAGAAUCCUUCAGUUGUUUGAAAAGAGCUAUCAAGUCUCCCUUAUCAUCCUUUAUUCUCUCUUGCUCUGACCUGCCAAGAUGCUCCACGGAGGUAGCCUGCUCUAGUUCUGGAUCAAUUCAACAUUUUCUAAGCAUCUAAGUGCUUAGAUGCGCAAGUAGAUUUUUAUUUACUCAUGGCCUUAAAGACUUAAUCAAGCCAGAUGAUCUUCCUUAAAACAAAUGACUAGCUUUAUGGUGAAAUGUAAAUAGAACUCAAACUCAUUAUCUGGUAACUACUCUUUUCUUGCUAAACAUUAGUUGCUCCCAGUUUAUCAGAAGUAGAUUGCUAAGUCUUUUGACCCAAAGCUAAUUGUGAAAAUAUCUAUCCAGAGAUCCAAAAAGAUCUAAGACUCAGGGUCCACUGAGGCAACUAUAAAUAAUAGAAAUAAAUUAAGCAUCCUGACUUCAAAACCUGUAAUCUCAUCAUCUCUGAGGGGAAUAUAAUUCUCACCAGUAUAAAAUUCAAUUAUCACCAAGGUGACACGGAAUAUCAUCAAUGUUAAUAAGAAAACUUCAUUCACCAUUCUCCAUGCCACCCAUUGCAUAUUCCAGCACGAGGUCUGUGGCUUGGGCCUGGGUAUCUACCAGUCUGGGUAAUUUGGGGAUGGGAAGUAAAAAGUAUGACUGAGCCCCUAAGGAGAAAUCAAGCAAGUAUAGCCACAGUCCAUGAUGCCUGUGGGAGCGCAGAGCUUUUACAGUUUCCUGUGCUCCAGUUGUCCUGGUAACCUGAGGCCCCCUUAUUUGUGUUGGCAUCAUGGGGCCAAGAGCGGAAGCAAAGCUGGAGCACCAGCAAGAUUUGCAGGAAAAAAAUGUGGGUAAUGCAGCAGUUAUGCCACAGGAGGGUCAAGCCUAGGGCAUAAGAAUUACCUGGUCAGGGGAGAAGAGGGAGUAGCGUCUUGUAAAAAUCAGAUUUCCAGAUUCCACUUGCAAUGUUUCUGAUUCAACAGGUCUAAGAUGAGCUCAAAAACCUGCAAUUUUAAGAAGCUACCUCCUACCAAGUAAGACAAAGAUCACACUUUUGAAAACUGAGGCUAAGCAAACAAAUCAGGAGUCAGAGAGAAAAAGUAUAACCACCUGUUAACUUCAGAAAGCCCAUAUUCUAGCACAGUAGUUCUCAACAUGAGCGGGGGCGGGGGGGGGGGUGACAGAUUUUGCCUUCCAGCCAGAUAUUUGGCAAUGUCUGGAGACAUUUUUGGUUGUCACAGUGGAGGUCGGGGAUGCUCCUAAACAUCCCAUAGUUCACAGGACUGGCCCCCAGCAACAAAGGAUUAUCCAGCCCAAAACAUCAGUGCCAUGGUUGAGAAUAUUCUGCCUCUCAACACCAUCAUGCCCAUUCCACAGAAAUCAAUGCUACAUACACAGUUUUGGUCAUAGUACAGAGAAGUAUGUGAGGUCCCCUGGAAAAAAAUGAGACCCCAAAAAUCACUUUAAAAAAAAAUAGUGAAUGUUAUUAAAGAUAUGGAUAAGGAGACUAGAACAACAAACAGGGGCACCUGACUGGCUCAGUUGGUAGAGCAUGUGACUCUUGAUCUCAGAGUCCUGAGUUCAAUCCCCACGUUGGGCAUGGAGCCUACUUAAAAACAAAACAAACAAAAAUCAGAACAACAGACAAUGAAGGGAAGUGAAGGUAUGGACAAUGAUGGUAAGCCAAGAAGGAAAUCAAGGGAGGACAAGGCAUUGGGUGACAAGAGUGGGCAAUGAAUGCCAUUCCCUCAAUGGAUGCAGCCUCUCUCCACAUGUAGAAGAUUGGUAAAGAGAACUCUAUUAAAAAUAACAUAAGCAAAAAAAAAAAACACAAAAAGGAAAGGAAAAUGAAUAAAGGAAUUGUGAAGAAGGAGCUUUAGGAUACAUCAAGCAAAGAUCUGGAGUGAAAGAAGACAAUGGAGAUUCUUCUGUAAAAGAAUACUAGACUCUUCAGCAAUGACAAGAAAACAGAGGACUCCUAGGAGGAGGUCAGGAAUUAUGUGAGAAAGGAAAAAAAAAUUAUGAUCUUCUAGCCCUAAUUUCCCCCCACCCACCUUCACCCCAAGAAAGACAGGUCCGAAAAAAGUUCUUUGCUUUUACUGAGCAGACAUAAUGAAAGGGAAGGGAAGUUGAAGAAAGAGGAGCACACCUGAGAACUCUUCUCAAAGGAAAAGAGGGCGGUGCUCAAAGAGAAUAGAGAAGUAAAGCUCAAAGAGAAGGAGAAAGGUGUUUUGGGGAAAGAAGAGAAAAGAUGAGGGAGAGAUCUGGUAGCCACUUGAGGGAGAAGGACUUUAGGGACUCUUUCUCUUUAGGAAAGAGAAAUUAAAUGAGAACUUUUUUUUUUUUUUAAGCACUGCUUUUGGGAUGUGAGAGAUGAGAUACAGCCUUCAUCUUCUACACCUUCUAAGGAAUCUUCAGUAAAAUCUGACAUUAUUCAUCAGGGCUUUGGGGAUUGGGUCUGCAUUUUUUCUCAGUUGUGACAAUAGGUACUGGCCUUUAGACAGAUCAAGAGCCCAGUUACACAUUUUUACCAUGUUUGACAUGACCGUAAGAUUUCUGGAGCAGCCAAAAGACAGCCAUAUGACAAUAAACUAAUUCCCAGAGUUUAGAGCUGGACUAACACAAGUCACUCACCUCGUGGGGCUAUGUAAAUUUAAAUUAACUAAAAUUUAAAAUUUCAUUUCUCAGUCACACUAGCUAUAUUUCAAGUGCUUAAAAGCCACAUGUGGCUCGUGGCUAGGGAUUAGACAGGACAGGUAGAGAACAUUUCCAUCAUCACAGAAAGUUCUAUUGGACAGUGCUGGAGUAAAGAAGAAAGCUUAGACAAACAGCUAACAAAAAAAACGACCCUUUUCAAAUCUUUAAAGAGCUGCCACAUUGAAAAACAAGUAGAUUUUUUUCCAUGUUGUUUCAAAAAGCAGAAUUAAGGGGGGAAAAUGAGAUGCCAUAACAUGACAGAUUUCAGCUUACCGACCCUCUAGUACCUAAAGCCAGAUAACAGUAGAAUGGGCAGCCUCCAACCACAAGAGGAAGUAACCCAUUUCAUUCAGUAGAGACAGACAAGCAAAGACCUACUUGAUCAUCUUUCAGAAGUAACGAAGAACUAGACGGCUUCUAAGUAUCUAGUUUUGAGUCUGUAAUUUUAAGAAGAGAGCAAUUUCCAAAUAAGAUACAAGUAGAGUCAUAAAUAGAAUUUUAAAAGUCACUACUGCCACAAGUAGAUCGUAGAGCAGACAAGAACAAUGAAAACAUAUAAGUGGACAAGGAAUUUAGUCAAAAUUAAUGGUGGUUAGUUAGGGGUUAAUUAUUGGUGGUAUGGGCUAUCAUGAAUUACAUGAACUUGUUAAGAAUGGUACCAAUGGGGGGCGCCUGGGUGGCUCAGUCGUUAAGCGUCUGCCUUCGGCUUGGGUCAUGAUUCCAGGGUCUUGGGAUUGAGCCCCGCAUCAGGUUCCAUGCUCCGGGGGAAGCCUGCUUCUCCCUCUCCCACUCCCCCUGCUUGUGUUCCCUCUCUCUUGCCUCUCUGUCAAAUAAAUAAAAUAUUAAAAAAAAAAAAUGGUACCAAUGGUUCAGAGACAAAGUAGGAAAACUUCAACAUAGGUUAUUAAUGGAAACUCAACCAGAGUUGAAAUCAGUACUAGAACCAGAGGAUCUUUUAUAUUCGCUGCCAGAGAGAACACCAGGCUAAGUAUAGCAACUGAAUGUUCUUGGGACUCUGACCCCUCCACCCCAUUCUCCUGCCAUUCACCACAGUCUUAUUUGUCAUCUCUCUCAACUCCUGAAACUCAGUCUCCUUCACGUGAUCUCCUCAUCUGCACAGGAACAGCUCCUCUCAUCCUUCUCAUCUCAACAGAGAAUGCCAAAGGAUGAGGUCUCUUAACUUUCUAUCCUAGCUAUGAACUCAACCCAUCCUCAUCUUCCACCCCAAAAUGUACUUGGCUUGAUUAUAAUGAAACAUACUGAAUAUAUAUUCAGAUACAUGUACUGACGUGUUAUAUUAUUUGUGCAUUUUAGCGUAUAUGUGUACAUGAGAGAAUUCAUGCACACGCAUGCAAUAACAUCCGUUGUUGGUAAGCACUGAGGAAUCUGGCACCAGAAUUGUGAAAUUCACUCUUUAGUGGCUAGCACAACACCAAGCUUAAGUGGGGUCAUUCAAUGGAUUCUACAAUUGACCAUGUCACACUUCUGGAUGCAAAAUACUGGAAGAAGAGACUGAAGUAGAUGUAAAUUUGAAAACUCUUAUUCUUGUGGGAAAAAGAGUGGAAACAUAAGCAUCUUAGAGGAAGAAGAGUUUAAUGCCAAGGGUAAGGUUGAAGCCUUGGUGAAAGCAAGCAUAACAGGUAUUACAAACAGUCUAGAAUCAGAAAAAGGUGAGAGAAGAGGAAGACAGAAGAUCAUGCAGAAAAAAUAAAAUCCAAUCUUUAAAAAAAAAUCUAAGGUCUUACCAAAGAGAAAGGCAGAAAAAGGAAGAUUUCAACAAGAGUGUUAAAGAUGGAAAAGAGCCAGAGAGGGCUGUAGGCUUUAAAAAAAAAAAAAAAAUCAAUGAAGAAGUAGUGGUGUAUGUUGGCAAAGAGAAGUGCAGAGUUAAGGGAAGGGAGAGAAUUUACGGUAGAGGAAGUUGGUGUGAAGUUUUCCUCUAAAGAUGCCCAGCAGAGCAAAGAAGGAAUGAAGGCAAAAGCCACUGGGAUUAAGGUAGAGCUGGGCCUGAAACAGCACAGGAGAAAGCAACAGGGCCCAAAGUAGGAAAUUAUUUUCUUUUUUUUCCUUUUUUUUUUUUUUAAUUAACUGACCCAGAUUUUCUGGUCUGGGGCCAAAGGCAACUGCAGGAUUUAAAGAAAUAAAUUAUAUAAAGAUCCUACUCCCUGGAACUGCCUUUGGCCCCAGAUAAAAUAAACUAUAAAGAUCAUGACAGAAUUAGCAUCAGUUUCUGAGAAAGUACAAAAUACCAUCGUAGAGUUAAUUUUAGCAAUCAAACUAAUAAGUGCUGUUAUAGAAAUGCUACUUUGAAUAAAACACCUUUAGCUUCCUCUUUUUAUCAGCCUCAGGGUAAAAACAGAAACUCUGUAGUUACAUACAUGCCCAUAGGAGAUAGUAAGUAACCUAAUAUAUACUUAAAACCGAGUUAUUUGUCUUUGUAUACUGUAGCCUAUUGCCCCACCCCAAGAAAUGUUUUACUUGGUUCAGGAUUCAUAAGACAGGUUAAAGGGCUGCACAGAAAAAAGCUAAGGUUAAAAAUAAAGACCAUAAGAUGAGGGAGGGGGAAAUGAGAUGUGUUGUGCUGAUAACAGAAAUGGGGCAUUAGAAACACAGAAGGCCCUCAAGUCAGCAAGGGGAAAAUGGCACAAAAGCAUUACAAUGCCAUUUAACUAAUCUUGAUAGCCUUACUGAGGGUUCCAAAUCAAAUAUUGAAUCAGAUUUUUCAACUUUUCUAUUUUUAAAACAACAACAUUUAAUAAUUUGAUAAAUGCAGUUAUGUGAUUUUAAAUGACUAUUAAAAUUAGCACAUCAAUGCCUAAUUCUUUGGCAAAGGCCAAAUGGCAGGCAGUAAUGUUAGACACAGAAAACCUCGCCUUUAAGUCACUCACUACUCUUCUUUCUCAGAGGUCGUGGAUUCUACCUGUGAGGCCAAAUCCCAAAUCCUCAUGCCAGCAUUCAAAGCCUUCAAUGACCUAGCCACAAUGGUACCUAUCGAACCUUAAAUCCCGCUACCCCCAAAACCUAGCCUCCACUGUCCGAGCGCACAGACCUCUGGACAGACUUUAUCUCUGGGGUCUGGCCAUUUCCACCUUCCUACCUGGUGUGGAAGUCCCCUUCCAUCUACAGGUUCUGGCUCGCCAAGGCCUACACUGGCGCUGCGGUCCUCCAGCACUCCAGUCCGCCGCGCUCUCACUCCGCAGCCCCGCACUCCGCCCCUCCCUGGGCCGCACCAACUAACCCACUUGCCGUUUUGCCCCGGGACCCUUUUCCCUCCCCUCGGCCAGCUCUUUGGGGCCUUCUCCCUACUCCCCCUCCUCCCCAAUAUUCUCCCAAGGGACAUUCCCCGCCUGCCUCCAGUCACAGACUCUGUAUUCAGUGUCUAUUAGGGGUUUCGCGCCUGGGGUAAAAGCAGGACCUGGACCCCGCAGGGCCCCUCCCCCCUUAACUCCCUCCCCAGGCUCCCCCGGUCCAGCCACCCUCGGGGGCUCCGGCCACCCAAAUCUUCCCGCCGCGGCCGGUCCCUCCAUCCGGCGGCGGCGGGCAGCGCGGGUCGGCGGUGACUCACCGGAGGGCCAGCGGCCGGGGCGGGGGGGGGGGGGGCCGGAAUGCGCUCACUUCCUCACCGCGCGCACCUGCCCGGCGCCGCUGGAGCGCCGCCCGGCCGGGCCUCCGGCGGAUGUUUUUUCUGUCCCCGCGCGCGCGCGCGCGGGCAGUGAGCGCCAACCGCCCCCUCCCGGCCGCGCCCCCCCAACUGGCAUCCCCAACGACCGCUGCCCCAGGAAUCACAGAAUUGGGCCCUAACUACUGACAUCCCCAACACACAAGCACACACACAUAGCAACCACCAGCGUGGACUCUGACCUCAAAUGGCUACAGAGACGCACGCUGCCGCACACACACCAGCUGGAAUGCAAGUGGGUUCAACAUCUUCCCGACACCCACCGCCCCACAACUUCUGAGAGAGGGAUCCUAGCUCAGCCCCCGCCUUUCUUUCCAGAAGCCCCCUACUCCUGCCCAUAUGCCUACCUUAUCUUCAUUAUAGGCGGCUCUCACUUCGGUCCCCAUUAUCUCACACAAACCAAUUCCCACCGGGCCCCCUUUGCCUUCCAGCAUCACCUUCAAGCUUCCCAGCCGUGUCUGCCCCCUACUGGGUUGGCUCCAGGUUGCAGGAGCAAAAGACUGGUCCAGACUUUCAGGGUGUCAGCAGGACCCCCUUCCCCAGAAAGGUAGCAGCAGAGCUACUGACCACUGACAAGACUUCUGGGCCUUGUGCUAGAAAGGCCUUCUCAUCCACCUCCUCCAGCCAUGCCUCCCACACACAAGCCUAUUAACAGGGCACCCUGCUUCAACCAUGAGUUUCCUUUUUUCUCUCGGUACUCCUCUGAAACAGAAAGGGUAUCAGACCUAACUAGGGUGAGCAUGUACAGCUGGCAUCUCCAUCCACUUAAGCUCUCUACUGGGAAGAGGAACAGACAGGGAGUCUGAGGUGAAUGGAUGAGGUUGUUUCUGAAUGGUCAAGAGGUGAGGCAGGGUAGCCCUCUAAAAAGCUCAGCCAGAAGUAGUUGUAGCUGAUCCACUGGGUGACAGGGAAGGAGAGUCUUGAAGUAAAAGGGACGGGAGACUUAGAAGGAACAAGAGAACGUCAGAGUGAUCGGCCCUCUGCGUAGGAGGGGGAACAGCUGGGAUGGGGUCUUUGGGUUGUGGCAAACCGAAGGAAAGGGGCCGUUAGUAGCAAAGAGAUGGCCAGCAUUUUAGAGUGGUCAGAAAAAAAGAACUUGAGAGUUCCCAUGAGUGGACAGGACGCAAUGGAUCAGAAUCCUAAUGUGAAAAGCAGGAGUCCCAAAGUUAGCUGGAAGGAUGAGAAAAUGACACCUCUUCCCAGGGCAAAAGCAAGGGUACUGACCUAGGAAAAGUGGGUUUAUCAGCAACACUGUUUCUCAAACUGGAGGUGGUAAGGACAACACGAAACACAAAUGUGAAAUGGGCGGAAGUCUGUGGUAGGAGAGAGCAGCCCCCAACAAAAGCCCUCAGCAAUGCAGAGCUGCUCGAUGUGAUUCAAACAAUGAAACGUACCUAUUUUGUCUCUGAACUCUAGCACCAAUCACAGCAGCUGAUAUUUUCUGAGGGCCAUGUGCCAGGGACACUACUAACAGCAUUACAUGCAUUACCUCAUUGAAAGCCUCUUAACAACCCUGAGUUAGUAUUACUAUCCCAAUGUAAAGAUAAGGAAACAGAUUUGAGAGGUUAAGUGGCUUGCCCAAAGUCACACAGUCUUAGGUAGAAUCAGGAUCUGAAUUCAACUAGUCUGACUCUAUAACCUAUGCUCUUAAUCACCCAUCUUGGGGGUCUCUAGAACCUGCAGGAAACCCAAAAGAGGAUGUCAGAGGAUUCCUCAAUUCUCAUUCCAUAAUGUACAAGAGGAAAGAGGGGUACCUCUGUGAAACUGGAGUGACUCAUACCAUCAGGGCAUUUUAAAGAUGUUCCUCUUUGAAAGAACCAUACCCAGAUAUGGGAAGACCUUUUAUCUGCCGUAUGUUUGGAGGUACUGAACAAUGCAUCCUCAGUAUGCCUGUGGAAAAGAGACACCUACCUCCCCAUCUCUGAGGGGCAGCCAUGUCUCUAGGAUACUUCCGGGAGACUCUGCCCUAGGAUCUGAGAAACAUUCCGCACUCCAGGUGCCUGUUCGCUCUCCUGGAGCCUCUGGCUGUCGCACCCUACUGCAGCUCCUUGGUUUGGCUGGGGCACAGGAUUAGCCAUCCCCAGGAAAUGCCUCCCUCCGGUCCAGGCAAGGAUCCCAGCACACACACCCCUGGAGUGUGUGUGCUGGGGGUGGGGUGGGGGGGGUGGAAUGCUUCCUUCUCUCCAGGUCAGGGAAGAGAUGUAGGGACCACCUGGGGGCCCUCACCCCUCCCACCUCCUUGCUGGGGAAGUGCCCAGUCCAGUGCCCCUUCCAUGGCCACCUCCCUCCCCCAGCUGUGCCGGGGCAUGAAUCAGCUCUCACAGCUUGUUAAAGCUAGACCUGUUGUUUUCAUGCCCUCACCUCAGGAAACAGAGUUACAGCUUUUCCAGCUCUACUCAGCAGGGGGCCAGGGUCCUCACUUUAUAAACAUCCCCAAGCCUGCAAGAGCAGAGGGCACGGAGAUGGUGUGAGACAGGAGCCCAGGGGAGAAAGAGAGAAACUAAGACCCAAGGAGAAAAACAAAGAAAAGCCAGAGACAAGCCAGAGUAGCCUGAACAGAGACCAAGAAGGGAUCGCGAGGGCUGUGCACAGGAAUGACCUUAAGGAUGUGCUGGACUGGACAGGCGAAGGGGGUCCUGGGAAGCUGGGGGAUCAUCUGCUUGGUGACCUCUCUGCUCCUCCAGCAGCCAGGAGUCCACAGCAAGUGCUACUUCCAAGCUCAAGGUAAAGCUGGGGGAGGCGUUAGGAAAGGACAGGGACAGAGGGAGCUGGGGUUUAGAGAUGAUCUGGGGGGCUUAGAGAUGAUCCUCUAUCGGGAUACCCAGACUCCCCCCAGCUCGGAAACAGGAGAGACUAAAAAUGGGGGUGAUAUGCACUUACUUUCUCCCACUCCAGACCACAAGCGAUCCUGUCUGCCACCACCACUCCCAAACACACUAACAUUUCCUGUUCUUCCCUAGCCCCGUGCCACUAUGAAGGGAAGUAUUUUACCCUGGGUGAGUCUUGGCUCCGCAAGGACUGUUUCCAUUGUACCUGUCUGCAUCCCGUCGGUGUGGGCUGCUGUGACACGUGAGUGACCAAAGAUGGCCAGAAAGAAUGGCUCUGACAUGAGUGACUGAGGGCUGGCCAGGGCGUAACCAUAUUGCUGUGAUGUGACAAUGAACAGAACAGUGGUAGGAGGCUGGCCGAACCCGAAGGUACCAACAAGAGUUUGAGAGAGAAGGCUGCAGGCUACAAAGUGAGGGGAUGUAGGGGUGGGUCUGGACGGAGAAUAUUUCUGCUAUGAAAUGAAAAAAUCCGUAUCUGGUCCCAGCAUCCCAUCGACUUUCCUGCGGGCUGUGAGGUACGUCAGGAGGCAGGAACCUGCCAGUUCUCCCUGGUGCAAAAAUCUGACCCUCGGCUGCCCUGCAAAGGCGGAGGGCCCGACCCAGAAUGGGGCUCAGCUAAU